ensembl:rRNA 5S_rRNA 5S ribosomal RNA
GCUUACGGCCAUACCAGCCUGAAUGCGCCCGAUCUCGUCUGAUCUCGGAAGCUAGGCAGGGUCGGGCCUGGUUAGUACUUGGAUGGGAGACCGCCUGGGAAUAGCAGGUGCUGUAAGCU